GGGUUGUGAGGUUAAGCGACUAAGCGUACACGGUGGAUGCCUAGGCAAUCAGAGGCGAUGAAGGACGUGCUAAUCUGCGAUAAGCGUCGGUAAGGUGAUAUGAACCGUUAUACCCGACGAUUUCCGAAUGGGGAAACCCAGUGCAAUCCGUUGCACUAUCGUUUGAUGAAUACAUAGUCAAACGAAGCGAACCGGGGGAACUGAAACAUCUCAGUACCCCGAGGAAAAGAAAUCAACCGAGAUUCCCCUAGUAGCGGCGAGCGAACGGGGAGCAGCCCAGAGUCUUAAUCAGCAUUAGUAUCAGGAGAACGGUCUGGAAAGUCCGGCAGUAAAGGGUGAUAGCCCCGUAUCUGAAGAUGCUAGUGUUGUGAACUCGACGAGUAGGGCGGGACACGUGUUAUCCUGUCUGAAUAUGGGGGGACCAUCCUCCAAGGCUAAAUACUCCUGAUUGACCGAUAGUGAACCAGUACCGUGAGGGAAAGGCGAAAAGAACCCCGGCGAGGGGAGUGAAAUAGAACCUGAAACCGUGUACGUACAAGCAGUGGGAGCCUUGAUUUAUCAGGGUGACUGCGUACCUUUUGUAUAAUGGGUCAGCGACUUAUAUUCUGUAGCAAGGUUAACCGAAUAGGGGAGCCGUAGGGAAACCGAGUCUUAACUGGGCGAAUGAGUUGCAGGGUAUAGACCCGAAACCCGGUGAUCUAGCCAUGGGCAGGUUGAAGGUUGGGUAACACUAACUGGAGGACCGAACCGACUAAUGUUGAAAAAUUAGCGGAUGACUUGUGGCUGGGGGUGAAUACAAUCAAACCGGGAGAUAGCUGGUUCUCCCCGAAAGCUAUUUAGGUAGCGCCUCGUGAACUCAUCUUCGGGGGUAGAGCACUGUUUCGACUAGGGGGUCAUCCCGACUUACCAACUCGAUGCAAACUACGAAUACCGAAGAAUGUUAUCACGGGAGACACACGGCGGGUGCUAACGUUCGUCGUGAAGAGGGAAACAACCCAGACCGCCAGCUAAGGUCCCAAAGUCAUAGUUAAGUGGGAAACGAAGUGGGAAGGCUCAGACAGCCAGGAUGUUGGCUUAGAAGCAGCCAUCAUUUAAAGAAAGCGUAAUAGCUCACUGGUCGAGUCAGUAUGCGCGGAAGAUGUAACGGGGCUAAACUAUGCACCGAAGCUGCGGCAGCGAUAUGUAAAUAUUGUUGGGUAGGGGAGCGUUCUGUAAGCCUGUGAAGGUGUACUGUGAGGUAUGCUGGAGGUAUCAGAAGUGCGAAUGCUGACAUAAGUAACGAUAAUGCGGGUGAAAAACCCGCACGCCGGAAGACCAAGGGUUCCUGUCCAACGUUAAUCGGGGCAGGGUGAGUCGACCCCUAAGGCGAGGCAGAAAUGCGUAGUCGAUGGGAAACGGGUUAAUAUUCCCGUACUGGUGAUAAUUGCGAUGGGGGGACGGAGAAGGCUAGGCUGGUACUGGGCGACGGUUGUCCCGGUUUAAGGAUGUAGGCAGGUGAAUUAGGCAAAUCCGGUUCACUAUAUGCUGAGGUCUGAUGACGAGUCACUACGGUGGCGAAGUAGCUCAUGCCCCGCUUCCAGGAAAAGCCUCUAAGCUCUAGAUUAUCACUAAUCGUACCCCAAACCGACACAGGUGGUCAGGUAGAGAAUACUCAGGCGCUUGAGAGAACUCGGGUGAAGGAACUAGGCAAAAUGGUGCCGUAACUUCGGGAGAAGGCACGCUGGCGCUAGGUGAAGUGGUUUACCCAUGGAGCUGAAGCCAGUCGCAGAUACCAGCUGGCUGCAACUGUUUAUUAAAAACACAGCACUGUGCAAACACGAAAGUGGACGUAUACGGUGUGACGCCUGCCCGGUGCUGGAAGGUUAAUUGAUGGGGUUAUCCGUAAGGAGAAGCUCUUGAUCGAAGCCCCAGUAAACGGCGGUAGCCAACUAUAACGGUCCUAAGGUAGCGAAAUUCCUUGUCGGGUAAGUUCCGACCUGCACGAAUGGCGUAAUGAUGGUACAGGCUGUCUCCACCCGAGACUCAGUGAAAUUGAACUCGCUGUGAAGAUGCAGUGUACCCGCGGCAAGACGGAAAGACCCCGUGAACCUUUACUAUAGCUUGACACUGAACAUUGAGCCUUGAUGUGUAGGAUAGGUGGGAGGCUUUGAAGUGUGGACGCCAGUCUGCAUGGAGCCAACCUUGAAAUACCACCCUUUAAUGUUUGAUGUUCUAACGUUGCCCCGUUAUCCGGGGUGCGGACAGUGUCUGGUGGGUAGUUUGACUGGGGCGGUCUCCUCCCAAAGAGUAACGGAGGAGCACGAAGGUUGGCUAAGCAUGGUCGGACAUCAUGCGGUUAGUGCAAAGGCAUAAGCCAGCUUGACUGCGAGAGUGACGGCUCGAGCAGGUACGAAAGUAGGUCUUAGUGAUCCGGUGGUUCUGAAUGGAAGAUACCAUCGCUCAACGGAUAAAAGGUACUCCGGGGAUAACAGGCUGAUACCGCCCAAGAGUUCAUAUCGACGGCGGUGUUUGGCACCUCGAUGUCGGCUCAUCACAUCCUGGGGCUGAAGUAGGUCCCAAAGGGUACGGCUGUUCGCCGUUUAAAGUGGUACGCGAGCUGGGUUUAGAACGUCGUGAGACAGUUCGGUCCCUAUCUGCCGUGGGCGUUGGAAGAUUGAAAGGGGCUGCUCCUAGUACGAGAGGACCGGAGUGGACGCACCACUGGUGUUCGGGUUGUCAUGCCAAUGGCAUUGCCCGGUAGCUAAGUGCGGAAGAGAUAACCGCUGAAAGCAUCUAAGCGGGAAACUUGCCUUGAGAUGAGUCUUCCCUGACCCUUUAAGGGUCCUAAAGGAACGUUUAAGACUAAGACGUUGAUAGGUUGGGUGUGUAAGCAUAGCGAUAUGUUGAGCUAACCAAUACUAAUGAACCGUGAGGCUUAACCUGACAACACCGAAGGUGUUUUAG
rnacentral:rRNA from 1 species